rnacentral:rRNA from 1 species
UGCCCUAGUAACGGCGAGUGAAGCGGCAACAGCUCAAAUUUGAAAUCUGGCUCUCGGGCCCGAGUUGUAAUUUGUAGAGGAUACUUUUGAUGCGGUGCCUUCCGAGUUCCCUGGAACGGGACGCCAUAGAGGGUGAGAGCCCCGUCUGGUUGGAUGCCAAAUCUCUGUAAAGUUCCUUCGACGAGUCGAGUAGUUUGGGAAUGCUGCUCUAAAUGGGAGGUAUAUGUCUUCUAAAGCUAAAUACCGGCCAGAGACCGAUAGCGCACAAGUAGAGUGAUCGAAAGAUGAAAAGCACUUUGAAAAGAGAGUUAAAAAGUACGUGAAAUUGUUGAAAGGGAAGCGUUUAUGACCAGACUUGGGCUUGGUUGAUCAUCUGGGGUUCUCCCCAGUGCACUCUUCCAGUCCAGGCCAGCAUCAGUUUUCGCCGGGGGAUAAAGACUUCGGGAAUGUGGCUCUCUUCGGGGAGUGUUAUAGCCCGUUGUGUAAUACCCUGGCGGGGACUGAGGUUCGCGCAUCUGCAAGGAUGCUGGCGUAAUGGUCAUCAACGACCCGUCUUGAAACACGGACCAAGGAGUCGUCUUCGUAUGCGAGUGUUCGGGUGUCAAACCCCUACGCGUAAUGAAAGUGAACGCAGGUGAGAGCUUCGGCGCAUCAUCGACCGAUCCUGAUGUUCUCGGAUGGAUUUGAGUAAGAGCAUACGGGGCCGGACCCGAAAGAAGGUGAACUAUGCCUGUAUAGGGUGAAGCCAGAGGAAACUCUGGUGGAGGCUCGCAGCGGUUCUGACGUGCAAAUCGAUCGUCAAAUAUGGGCAUGGGGGCGAAAGACUAAUCGAACCUUCUAGUAGCUGGUUUCCGCGAUUUUCCUCCCGGAAGAAAAAA